rnacentral:lncRNA from 1 species
UGACGCAGCGGAAUAUAGAUUUCAAAAUUUUUUAACAUGCAUACAAUAAUGAAAACAAGGUUUAACAUUUAAACACAACCAUCGAAACUUAAAAACCUUAGGAACCCCUUGACGAUUACAAUCAAAUCACAAAAACAUGCAAAUAAGAAGACCAGAAGUCUUAUACCACCAUGAAGACCACGAACUGGUGAUUUUGAGAUCUCCACGAGAUUCCAAAGUAGAAGCCCUCCAAUGGUGAUCCACACAGGAUUGAUCAGGGUCUUUCCCAACUCGUCAUGGUGCUGCAGCUUUCUUCCUAAGUGCGCUGCCGAUGGUCCUUCGCAAGAACUUGAUAUACCAUAAAUUGUAUGCCUUCAUGAUCUCCACUAGGAUCACUUUAGGAAUCUUUUUCCAAAGUAUCUCACCAUACUCUAAUCAGAUUUUAUAUUCAACAUAUGAACAAUCUGAUUUUAGGACAAGUAUCUCAUUUUUUUUUCUCUCUUCCUUUCUAUUUUUCUCUCUCUUUUUUUUCUUGUUUUUUCCCCAUAAUUUUUCCAUUAUUUCCUCUCAUUUCCACGCCCAUCCUUGGCUAAAAAUGGCACGUUGACAGGUGGUAGAGUCCCCUUUAAAUAGGAAACAUGGGGCGACUCCAUGGGACGCCAACUCUUGGCGUCCCUUAAUUAUUACAUGCCUUAAUAAAUUUUCAAUGUGGAAUAUAAUGGGUUGGCGUGGAUUCUAAAGAGGUUUACCAGUAGAAGGACUCUUCCUCUGUCUAAGAAAAAUUAAUUUACAAUCAAAUUGUGCAUGCGAAAGGAAUCAACGUGAGAUAUGAAGAGUCCAUGCCAAUAAGGACUCUUCCAUAAACUCAACGUAGACAUUAAAGGAAAAUCAAUCUAAUUGGCGUUCAAACUCCUUGUAAGAAAAGGACUCUUCUCUUUUGCGCCCAUAAUUCUAAGUGUCAUCUGAUGACACGAAGAAUUAAAACGCAUGGAGAAUUAAGAAAGGAAUUUAAGAGUCCACGUUGAAAUGGAGGAGUCCAUUUCAACGCCAUAAAUGGCUCCUCCAUUUCAACGCCAUAAAUGGGGCGUCCCUUCUUAUUUUUGACGUGGAGUUCCUUCCAAGAGAAGGACUCCCUCUCCUCUUCCACGUCCCACAUCCUAAGGCGCUAUCUGAUGGCGCACAAAAAUAAGGGACGUGUGGAAGAUGUAAUAAUUUUAAGAGGAGUAAGAAAGGACUCUCCUUCUUAAAUACAAAAAUAAAUGUGACGCCACUUAAUAAUAUGCGUGUGGUUUGACAUGGAGGAGGUUGAUUUCAUGUGGAACUCUUCCACAAAAUCAAAUAAAACCAAC